AUAAUUCCAGCUAACAUUUAAACGGUUAAAUUUUUCUGUAAUUUUUUAGAAUUAUAUUUUUUUGUUACAUAAAAGUAUGAUUCAAAUGUUUCAUGCAAGAAUUAAUAAAAAAAAAUCAAUAGAUAAGUUAUAAAAUGUCUUCGUAAAACUGAACAAAUAAAUCUCGAUUGUACCUACAUUGUUAUAAUACAGAUUUAUCUAAAUGAAGUAUUUCGCAUUUUAAACGAGUUUAAUGAUAACAGUUUUCGAUUUAUUGAUUUAUAGUAGGCGAUAGUAAAAUAGCUUGAGUUUCAUCUGCCAAUUGAAUUAAGGAAUAUUAAUCAAGUCACGCUGUUUGCGUGUCGCGCGAUACGGAAUUUGUGAAACCAGAGAUUAAAUUUGGUCAAAUUUUCUAUAGCACAGUGUAAGUUGUAUACUUGCAAGCUGAAACCUAGCAGAAACAAAUCUACUAACCCUUUGUGGACGGAUGGCUUUUGGAACCACUAUCUUUUCAAGUAUUUUGUAAACUGAUCGCUCGAUUUUCAUAAAACUUGAUUUAUGGAGUAAUUUGAUAAAGCUUUAUUCGAAUUUGAGGUAAAAAAUAAGACAUUCAAAAUAUUGGAUCCAAUAUAUACGAAACUUCAAAAAAAAUAAUCAGAUGGCUAUAAACACACCAACUUUCAAACUGUACGGGAAAGGCUAUGGAAAAUUGAGUCUCGGUGAAAUGAAUUGGUUUUCAUAUACAACUUACAAUAUGAUAUAUAAAAGAUAUCAGGCAGACACGAGGCUCAAUAAUGAAUAGCUUUUGUGCUAUGGUGUCAUCAAAUGUGUAGAAUUUAUGCUCUGUACAAUUAUUAUAGUAAAGCUUUGAUCUGGAAAUCCUUCGAAAUGUAUCUCUUUUAAUCCUGUCGUUUUUUUAUAUGUGAAAACCAACUCAUUUCACCGAGAUUCAAUUUUCCAUAUAAUUAGUGCGAGGGUCUUUGGAACUCUAAUGGGAAUUAUAAAUGUCGUUACAUAUGCGCGAGAACUGAAGAGUGAAUAUAGAUUUUACAUGAAGUCAGGCCCGGCGAUUUAUCUCGGCUCUAGGUGUGAAAUACUAUGGAAAUUUCUGAUGAAAAAUCCCCCCACUCCACCAGUAGUUGAUAAAAUUUUCAACCUCCGCUAAAUCUCUCUGUGAUCGAGUAUGGAUUUUUUCGGAUGUGGAAAUCCACCUGAUUUUGGAAUGUGGACUGCUCCACACAAUUCACACAUAAAACGCCGGGCCUGAAUGAAGUGGAAAUUUCUUCGUGAUUUGUUCGGUUGGAGAUGAGUUUUGUGACAUAAGUUUUUUCUCUUUCAUUGAAGAUUAUUACCCUUUUGAAUUUUUACAUUUUCAGAUUACAUUCAAAUUCAAUGAUCCCAAGAUUCGUAUCACUCUAGUAAUCAGAUUUUUUAAAUUUGAUCCGCCAUAUUGAAUCCACAUUUUAAAUUUUAAAAUUCUGAGGUCAAAAUCGAAUUCACUGAUUUUGAAAACCCUUAGAAAACAAGGUCUCCCAUAAAUUACUUUGUUAAAAAGUUCCUAUUUAAGUUUAUUUACUUUAUUAGAGAUCUCCUCAAAGGAUUCAAAAUAGAAAUGUUUUUUUUUUUAAUAAUUCUAUAUAAGGCUUCGAGAAAAAAUAAACAAGUUAGAUUUGCUGACAACAAGCAAAUUCUAAACUUUAACAUUCUGUUAACAACUGUCGAUACUUAAUUUUUACAAGCUAUUACAUACCUAGUUUUCAAUUACAUAUGCUGAAAAAUCCAUUAACGUUUUAAUAAUAAAUGUUAGAAUAUCUAAAUUAAUAAUUUAUUUCAGCGUAUUCGAGACGUUGUGUAUAAGAGUUGGAUAUAAAGAGUUGGAUAGCAGCAACAUCUUUUAAGUGUAAUUAGAAUUUUUUAUUGCAUAAUUUCUAUAUCAAAAAAUAAUAUUCAUACCAUUACGUCAAGCAAAAAAAAACACAUCACAAUUCACCUAUCUUUGUAAAAGAUAAGUGAACUUUCUUUUUAUUACAUAUAGUUCUUUAUUAUAAAUAAUAUUUAUCGUUACAUAAACAGUAAUGCUAUAGCGUUUAUUAUUAGGCUUCGUAGUUUUUUAAUAAUUUCUAGUUAAUUUUCAACAAAUGGCACUAAUAUAAAACAACAUUACAGCCAUGUUUGUAAUAUACGACUUACAUAACUGAUCAAAUUGUACUAUUAUGACUAAAUCUUUUUUGAAAAUUUGUGAACAAAGGUAUCUGUAGCAAGAUCAUAAAUAUA